rnacentral:rRNA from 1 species
CAGUAGCCGCGGUAAUACGUAGGUCCCGAGCGUUGUCCGGAUUUAUUGGGCGUAAAGCGAGCGCAGGCGGUUAGAUAAGUCUGAAGUUAAAGGCUGUGGCUUAACCAUAGUACGCUUUGGAAACUGUUUAACUUGAGUGCAAGAGGGGAGAGUGGAAUUCCAUGUGUAGCGGUGAAAUGCGUAGAUAUAUGAAGGAACACCGGUGGCGAAAGCGGCUCUCUGGCUUGUAACUGACGCUGAGGCUCGAAAGCGUGGGGAGCAAACAGGAUUAGAUACCCCCGUAGUCCUGUCUCUUAUACAC